rnacentral:lncRNA from 1 species
CGGGACCGAAGAGGUGACAGCCUCGGCGGGGCGGCGCUAGGCGGCAGUGACCGCCAGAGUCCCGGGUGCGUGUGCACGUGUGUGUGCGCACGUGUGCGCGCGCUCCGCCCGGUCCCGGGCAGCCACCUGUCACUCACGGGGGCAAAGGGGCCGCGGCGGAGAGGACGCAGAGGGGGCGGGGCGGCGGCCGGAGAGGGGCGGCGCCGAGGCCGGUCCCGCGGAGGCCCUCCCGGCGGAACCCCGCGUGCUGCAGCCAUGGAGACGCGGUAAUCCCCUCCUCCGGCCCGCGCCCCGGCCCCCGCAGCCGUCGCCGAUUGGUCGCCCUUUGCUCCCUGACCCUCUCGCCGCCUCCGAGGCCACCGCUUCCUGCUCGGUUGCCGCGCCGCGCUCCCGGCCCGGGGCGGAGCUCGGGCGCCGGGCGCGCGCCGCUUUCGCCGCGGCCGAGCAGCAGCCGGCGCCGGAGGAGGAGCCGCCGCCGCGCCCUUCCCCUUCCUCCGCUCCUCCCCCGGCCCUCUCCCCGCCCGCGCCGGCCCCAGGCAGCACUUGCGAGCAGCGGCGGCCGCGGCCGGCGGCCGAAAGGGGAGAAUGCGGCGGCGCUCGCGGAUGCUGCUCUGCUUCGCCUUCCUGUGGGUGCUGGGCAUCGCCUACUACAUGUACUCGGGGGGCGGCUCCGCGCUGGCCGCGGGCGCGGGCGGCAGCGCCGGCAGGAAGGAGGACUGGAAUGAAAUUGACCCAGUUAAAAAGAAAGACCUUCAUCAUAGCAACGGGGAUGAGAAAGCACAAAGCGUGGAGACCCUCCCUCCAGUGCUCCCGGUGACGCUCACAGAAAGCAAAAGCAGAAUUUGAGAUGGAACAUCUCUUGGGUGAUGGUCUCUUCUCUGGCUGUGGAGGGGGCUCCACCGUUCCUGGU